GUUGAACGCUGACAGAAUGCUUAACACAUCAGCGAUUGAUUGUUGGCGGACGGGUGAGUAACGCGUAAAGCACUUACCCUACCGGAUGGGGCAACAUAUGGAAACGAAUGCUAAUACCUAAUACUGUGAGCGAUCUUUGCGUCCCAUUAGCUCGUUGGAGAGGUAACGGGUCACCCAGGCGAUGAUGUGUAGCCGGCCUGAGAGGGUGAUCGGCCACAAAGGGACAGGGGCACGACCCUUAGUCCUACGUGAGGCAUGAGUGGGGAAUAGUGGACAAUGUGCCAAAGUCUGAUCAAGCAAUUCGGUGUGCACGAUGAAGUUGUCGGGAUGUAAAGUGCUUUGAGUUUGGAAGCGGUACCAACAGAAGAAGUAACGGCUAAAUACGUGCCAGCAGCCGCGGUAAUUC
rnacentral:rRNA from 1 species